rnacentral:lncRNA from 1 species
CUGGCCGCUCCCUCAGGGUGCAACACUGUGGGGCCCAGCCAGGCCUGCAUUCCUGCCCAGAGGCCGGCUCUCCAUUUAUAGCCCCGGGCAGGCAGGCCUCGGAGCUGAGGACAGAGGACUGGAAAGGGUGGAAGAGAAGGGAGCCCCCUUCCCACCUGCUGCGCAAGGAGCUCCUGACUGUGAAGCCUGGAGGCCGAGGCCUGGCCCAGCACCAGGAUUAAAAGGCAUCAGGUCCCAGGAUGGACACACCUCUCCCCGCUCUUUCCGCAACAGAGACAGGAAGGUGGUAUUGGCAAACUUCUCCCAAAGACGUGGUGGCUCACCCAGGAGAGCAGCCCCGGGCAGGCGGGGUCCCAGGCCUGGAGAGGUCUGUAGAGGUUGGCAGGACCAGGGAUUCCCAAACGCGUCAAGCAGCAGAAGCCUCAUAGAAGAUCAAAGUCCGCUUGGAAGUCUCGUGCGGAAGUGGCAUUGUACCACCAGACCGUGUGUGCGUUUAAAAACAGUGCUUCCCAAUUACCGCAGAAGAUGAACUACGAGGCAGGUUUAAAACUGUCAAAGCAGUUUAGAUUUCUAAGCCACAAGUGAUAAAAUAUUUAAAUGUGUUUGGUAAGUUCGAACAUAGAACAUUUACUUGUUGUAAAGGCACCGUGAUGACAGCCCUGAGGCGGCUUUUAUGAACACAAACACAAAAAGCAAAGUUGUAAUCAUUUAAGUCUCAGCAUCCAAUUUAUUUCUGUGUUACCUUUGCUUGCUCAGGUUUGAGAAGAAUCUGGGUUUGCAAGGAUAAGUGGCUUAAAGAGCUCACCUGGAAAUCUCAGGGUACUCUUAGAUUCAAGAAUUUGAUUCAUUCAUCCACCCAACAAAUAGUUAUUGAGUGUCUAGUAGGUGUCAGGCAUUCUG